rnacentral:rRNA from 1 species
AUUGAACGCUGGCGGCAGGCCUAACACAUGCAAGUCGAACGAGUGGCGGACGGGUGAGUAAUGUAUGGGAAUCUGCCUGAUGGAGGGGGAUAACUACUGGAAACGGUGGCUAAUACCGCAUACCAUCGGAUGAGCCCAAGUGGGAUUAGCUAGUUGGUGGGGUAAAGGCUCACCAAGCCGACGAUCUCUAGCUGGUCUGAGAGGAUGACCAGCCACACUGGGACUGAGACACGGCCCAGACUCCUACGGGAGGCAGCAGUGGGGAAUAUUGCGCAAUGGGGGCAAGCCUGACGCAGCCAUGCCGCGUGAAUGAAGAAGGCCUUCGGGUUGUAAAGUACUUUCGGUAGGGAGGCGUUACCUGCAGAAGAAGCACCGGCUAACUCCGUGCCAGCAGCCGCGGUAAUAC